rnacentral:rRNA from 1 species
AUGGCGGGCAUGGAUCACGCGCCGCCAGGCUUCCGCUUCACGCCGACGCAGGAGGAGCUCAUCCUCUACUACCUCGACCCUUGGGUGGCUGACCCGGGAAAGACGCCGGACGGCGAGCGCCUUGGCAUCGUCUGCGUCGCCGACGUCUACGGCGAGGACCCGGCCGCCCUCACGUCGCGGCACUGGCGUUUCGGCCACGACGACGGCAACUGGUACUUCCUCUGCGUGGCGCGAUGGAAGGGUAACCGCGCGGGCGGCCGGGCCAGCCGCACCGUCCAGGGCGGCGGCACGUGGCACGGGUCCGGCAAGCGGGUCGCCGUCGCCGGGGCCGGGCACCGGGUGCACCAAACGACGAGGACGGCGGAGGAUGAAGAGCGUGGGGAGUCCAGCAAGGCCGCCCGGUCUUCUAAGAGACGACGCCGCGGGGAGCAUGACAUCGCCACACGUGCAAUAAAGCCAUUGGAGAUGUUUGCCAUGGAGGACAAGCCGGAGGCACUGGAGCAAGUCUUCGCCAAGGACGAACCAGAGUCAUGGGAGAUCCUUGCCAUGGAGGACGAGCCAGAGCCAUGGGAGAUGAUAACCUUGGAGGACGAACUAGAGCCAUGGGAGAUGAUUACCAUGGACAAGCCAUCUCCACUUCAAAUGCUAACCAACAACAUGACAUGUCCACAGGAGAUGCUCACCAACAACCUGCCAUGGCCACUGGAGAUGCUUAGCAAGAACUUCCCACUGCCACUGGAGAUGCUUACUAACAACUUGGCAUCGCCAUUGGAGACCCUUAGCAAGAACUUGCCAGAGCCAGCGGAGACCGUUACCAAGAACUUGCCAUCUCCAUUGGAGAUCCUUGGCAAGAACUUGCCAAAGUUGGACAUCCUUACCAAAGAGGAACCCACGACGACGACGACAGCCUUCGAUCAAGACUCCGGCGCGGCGAACAAAGAAGCCACCCCUAACGCGGAGAUGGAGAUGCCGGCCGAUGCCGAGUGGCACUUGCACUACCCAGAACUGUUCGAGCAGCAAGAGCCUCCGCCCAUGGAAGACGUCAUGAAGCCUCUGCCAGCGCCGACGGUCCAAGAAUUUGAGCAGGGAGCCUCUCCGGCGACGGUCCAAGAACUCGGCGCCGCUGCUUGGGGUUGGGGAGGCCAUGGCCGGCGCUGCUUAGUGAGGCCUAUAUCGUUAGCUUGGAUACUACCUGGUUUUUGA